GCGAAUAUAGUUCAAAGGUAGAACUACAAUUUGUGGCAUUGUUAAUAUGGGUUCAAUUCCCAUUAUUCGCC
rnacentral:tRNA from 1 species